UACGAGUGCCCCAAGCGUUGUCCGGAAUUAUUGGGCGUAAAGAGCUCGUAGGCGGUCUGUCGCGUCGGCUGUGAAAUCCCGAGGCUCAACCUCGGGUCUGCAGUCGAUACGGGCAAACUGGAGUGUUGCAGGGGAGACUGGAAUUCCUGGUGUAGCGGUGAAAUGCGCAGAUAUCAGGAGGAACACCAGCGGCGAAGGCGGCGCUCUGGGCCGGAACUGACGCUGAGGAGCGAAAGCGUGGGUAGCAAACAGG
rnacentral:rRNA from 1 species